rnacentral:lncRNA from 10 species
UCACUCCCUAAAGCCCUCUUCAGGGGUCACCUCCUCCAAGAAGCCCUCCUUGCCACCCCCCGCCGGCAGGGGCCCCUCCUCUGUGCUCCCUCGGUCACCUGUGCUACCUCUAACACCACACUGACCACACUGUAUCGUGAGUGUCCGUUGACGUGACCAAUUGCCCUGCCAGGCUGUCAGCGCCUCAAGGGUAGGGUCUGCGUGUGAUUUGUCUCUGAGCCCCCUGUGCCCACCCAGGGCCCGGCACAGAGUCGAUGCUCAAUAAAUGUGUGUUGACUGCAUGAAUGACCUGGAACCAGGCCAUGCGCUCUCGCCUCAGCUUGCUCGUCUGUGAAAAGGGGGAGAUGCGGAGGCUGGCACAGCUUUGGAAGCCACCAGCCCGCAGAUGCCCCGCAGAUGCCCUGACAACGCUGCCUUGGGAGAGACUGCCCCAGGUUACCAGCGUUGAGACAUGGCUGCCCUUGCUGGUGCGUUUUGUAAGUGCGUGUGCUGGGAAGUUGUUCCCCCGUCUUUAUCACCUCCCCCAAUGCCCUGCAGCUUCUGAUUCUCACCAAGACAUUCAGCUGGGUGAGCUGACAGAUCCCUGGUGUCCCCAAAAGGCCCCCAAGUACUUGGCUCUCCAAGUACCUCUCUCUGCCUGAAGUCAAGGAUGGUUUUCCAAGCAUAGGGCCUGCAAACAUUAGUGGGGCCACCCAACUGCUCACUCAAUUCUCCCUGGCAUCCCAGAACCCAGACAGCACCCCAGCUUUUUGCGCCCACCCCCCCCCAGACCUCACAGUGGGCCCCUCACCAGGGACCAGGGCAGCGUCCACCUUCUCUUCCUGUCCCAGCCACCCCCAGCUCUCACCUCAGUUUCUCCUAGAAGGCCUCGCCCCCCAAUUUAUGCCAUCCCAGUCCCCAAGGAGGUCGCACUGCUCUCUGAGGUGGGGGGGCCUGGCGUGGUGUCCCUUCCCUGGAUUUCAGGGCAGACAAGUGCUGGAAAGGGUAUGAGAUGCCUGGAGUGGCCCUGGGAUAUGGGAACACCUCUGAGAUGACCUGGUGAAUCGUGCCAACGUGGCCCCCUGCCCUGCUCGUAGGAGUCCCGAGCUGUUGGAUGCUACAGGCCUGUCUAGGGGCAGUGGGAGCCUUUGGUGCUGAGUGACCCAGGGCAGCCCUCCUUCGUGUGUGACCUCAGAGAGGUUAAGUAUUAGCCAUCCACAGGCCAGCACACGGCUCUGGACACAUGUCCCGAGUUCUGACAUCAAGUACCCCCCACCUCAGCCCCUGUGAAGGGCUGGGCCUGCCUGGGUCUCUCUGAGGGUCCAAGCCAGACUCCAUGCCCUGUGCCUUCUGGGUGCCUGCACAUAGGGUGGUGGCAGGGCAUGAGUCCCUGAGGAGCAAGAGGUGGUUUUAUGUGACGUCAGUGGUUGCCAAGGCUGGAGGCAGCAAGUGGCCUGGGUUUUCACUGGGUUUAUGGUUACUGGCCAGUUCAUCCCUUGGGGAUAGGGAGCCAGUGAAGGCUCUGGAGCUGGGGAUGGAGAAGGUACAUGGCUUGCUUCAGUGCAGUGGGUGGAGGAAUUGGAAGGAGGAUCUGGAGGCCCAGAGGCCAAGGAGGAGGCUGGUGAGAUGGUCCUGGGGAGAAAGGGUG